rnacentral:lncRNA from 1 species
UUAUUAUGUUCUUUCUUUUUUAUCUUUUAUGUUACUAUUUUCUCUUCCAAUUACGUUUUUAUUGCACUUUUCUUCUCAAUCUCGCAUCUCUUAUGUUCUUUUUUUCUUCAUCUUCUCUAAUCUCUCAUCUCAUAUGUUUUUUUUUAUGUUUUAUUAUAAUGUCUUUGAUAUUAUUUUAUGCUACUAUUUAUAUUUGUCUUUUAUUCCACUUUUGUCUAAUCUGAUUUUUUGUAUAUUGAAUGAAACG